UCUCUGCUCCUCUCAUCUUUUCUUCUUCUUCUCUAUCGAUCUCUGCUCCUCUCAAAUUCUUCCGUCGCAAACCUAAAAAAAAAUCAAAGAUCCAUCUUUUCUUCUUCUCUGGUUAAUUCUCCAUCUUUUACGAAGUACUCCACUUCUCAUCUCGCUGGUUCGUGUCUCGAGCCCAAGAGAAUCUCCAAUCAAAACAGAAUCUGAGAUCGACUAAGCCAUCGAGAUAAGCAGAAGAUGAAGAUGAUCAAGAACAGCAGGAGACGGAGAGAAGAAGCGGAAGCAGAAGAAUAAGCAACGACGGAGGAGUUUCAUCGAUGAAGGUUGUGGCGGCGGAGGAGGCAGAGUGGGGGAGACGGUGCGGAGGAGAGCGAAGGAGUUAGGAUAUUUUUUUUGUUUUUUAGAUUUAGUUUUUAAACCUGGUUUGUGUGUAUUAAUUAGUAAACUGAAAACAUUUGUAAUCUGGUUUAAUUUAUAAACCGAAUCAGUUGUAAACCAAAAUUUUAAUAUAAACCGAAAUAAUUUGUAAA